GGCCCGUUGGUCAAGCGGUUAAGACACCGCCCUUUCACGGCGGUAACACGGGUUCGAAUCCCGUACGGGUCAU
rnacentral:tRNA from 9 species